GGUAAAAUGGCUGAGAGUAAGCAUUAGACUGUAAAUCUAAAGACGGAGGAGUAGCCCCUCUUUUUACC
rnacentral:tRNA from 2 species